rnacentral:rRNA from 1 species
ACACCGGCAGCUCAAGUGGUAGCCGCUUUUAUUGGGCCUAAAGCGUCCGUAGCCGGUCUGAUAAGUCUCUGGUGAAAUCCCACAGCUUAACUGUGGGAAUUGCUGGAGAUACUAUCAUGACUCGAGGUCGGGAGAGGCUGGAGGUACUCCCAGGGUAGGGGUGAAAUCCUGUAAUCCUGGGAGGACCACCUGUGGCGAAGGCGUCCAGCUGGAACGAACCUGACGGUGAGGGACGAAAGCCAGGGGCGCGAACCGGAUUAGAUACCCGGGUAGUCCUGGCCGUAAACGAUGUGGACUUGGUGUUGGGAUGGCUUCGAGCUGCCCCAGUGCCGAAGGGAAGCUGUUAAGUCCACCGCCUGGGAAGUACGGCCGCAAGGCUGAAACUUAAAGGAAUUGACGGGG